rnacentral:rRNA from 1 species
CCUACGGGAGGCAGCAGUGGGGAAUAUUGCACAAUGGGGGAAACCCUGAUGCAGCGACGCCGCGUGAGUGAAGAAGUAAUUCGUUAUGUAAAGCUCUAUUAGCAGGGAAGAAAAUGACGGUACGUGAGUAAGAAGCCCCGGCGAACUACGUGCCAGCAGCCGCGGUAAUACGUAGGGGGCAAGCGUUAUCCGGAUUUACUGGGUGUAAAGGGAGCGUAGGCGGCAGUGCAAGUCUGGAGUGAAAGGCGGGGGCUCAACCCCCGGACUGCUCUGGAAACUGUACGGCUGGAGUGCAGGAGAGGUAAGUGGAAUUCCUGGUGUAGCGGUGAAAUGCGUAGAUAUUAGGAGGAACACCAGUGGCGAAGGCGGCUUACUGGCCUGUAACUGACGUUGAGGCUCGAAAGCGUGGGGAGCAAACAGGAUUAGAUACCCGAGUAGUC